UACGAAGGGGGCUAGCGUUGCUCGGAAUCACUGGGCGUAAAGGGUGCGUAGGCGGGUUUUUAAGUCAGAGGUGAAAUCCUGGAGCUCAACUCCAGAACUGCCUUUGAUACUGAGGAGCUCGAGUCCGGGAGAGGUGAGUGGAAUUCCGAGUGUAGAGGUGAAAUUCGUAGAUAUUCGCAAGAACACCAGUGGCGAAGGCGGCUCACUGGCCCGAUACUGACGCUGAGGCACGAAAGCGUGGGGAGCAAACAGG
rnacentral:rRNA from 1 species